rnacentral:rRNA from 1 species
CCUACGGGUGGCAGCAGUGAGGAAUAUUGGUCAAUGGACGAGAGUCUGAACCAGCCAAGUAGCGUGCAGGAUGACUGCCCUAUGGGUUGUAAACUUCUUUUAUAAAGGAAUAAAACGAGGCACGUGUGCCUUUUUGUAUGUACCUUAUGAAUACGGAUCGGCUAACUCCGUGCCAGCAGCCGCGGUAAUACUGAGGAUCCGAGCGUUAUCCGGAUUUAUUGGGUUUAAAGGGGGCGUAGUUGGGUUGUUAAGUCAGUUGUGAAAGUUUGCGGCUCAACCGUAAAAUUGCAAUUGAUACUGGCAGUCUAGAGUACAGGUGAGGUAGGCGGAAUGCGUGGUGUAGCGGUGAAAUGCUUAGAUAUCACGAAGAACCCCGAUUGCGAAGGCAGCUUACUAAACUGUGACUGACAUUGAUGCUCGAAAGUGUGGGUAUCAAACAGGAUUAGAUACCCGAGUAGUC